CUGAGGACCCACAUUGUGAACUUUCAAGACCAUUUUAAACUCUGAUUUUUUCCCCUCGCUCCCUUCCAGUUUAAUCAAGGAUUCGAUUCCACCUGUCAAGUCCAUGUUCUACACUUUUUGGGCUGUAUUUCAGACUUUUAUUGUAUACAUUGGAAUGGAAUGAAUUCAGAAGAAUCAUCUCAGUCAGACGCAUUGUCCUGUAUAGCACAUACUGCCAUUCUCCAGAUUCCUAUCUUACAGUAAGGGGCAAAAGCAGAAAGUAAGAGAAGAUGAGAACAGAAAAGAAAAGGAUGGCAAAACCAGAAAAAAGAAGACUAAAUAGCCCCUUUGAAUGCAUGAUCUAUGGAAGCUGGAGGCUGGAGAGAUUAAGACACCCUGAAGUGGAAUUUCUCCAUAAGACAGUGUCUAUGUCCUUGCACAGAUGCUCGAAGAAUCAGCAAGUCUGAGAUCAAGUUUGCCAGGAAUAGAAAGGUGAUAUGUUUCAUUUACACCAAAGGGGGAGCAGUGAGGGUCUCUCUAGAAGGCUGAUGUUACUGCUCAGAUCUGAGUGCAGCAGACAAGAAAGAGAUGUGACUAUUGAUGGAAAAUGAUGAAUUCUAGAAGGGAGAUGAAUUUCUUCAGAAGAUGUGCCUGCUCUGCAGAAAGUGAGGCCGAAUGGAAAGGGAAUGGCUUUGGAACAAGAUUUCACUGGAUCCAAGGGCUGGCUCUACUUAUAAGCUACAUAGUGCCAGGUAUGAGUUUGAAUUACAUUAUUCUUGAGUGGCUCACAUUUGACAUGAUGGCUAGUCUUUGUCACAGUGACGUACCUUGGAAACUGGAACCUCAGUUGGACAAUUUUCUCCAUCAUAUUGGCCCAUAGGCAUAUUUAUGAACAUUUCGGUGUGCAUGCUUGUAUGCGUGUAUAUGUGAGUGUGUGGUUGAUGUAGGAGGGCUCAAGCUACUGUGGGAGGUGCCAUCCUCAGGCAGCUAAACCUGGAUUGUAAAAGAAAAGUAGCUGAAUGUGGGUCUGGAAGCAAGUUGGUAGUUCUUCUGCAGUUCCUCAUUCAAGCUUCUGUCUGGAGUUCCCUUGCUUCCCUUGAAGAUGAAUUGUGGCCUAGAGGGUUGAGCUUAAUCAACACCAUCUUCCCUUAGCUACUUUUAGUCAUAAGUGUUUUAUAACAGCAACAGAAAGCAAAGUAGGGUACUUGGGUAAAAGAAACUGAGGCAGGAGAAUUUUCUAGAGUCAGAGGCCAGGUUAGGAUACAUAGUGAGUCCUAGACCAGACUGGGCUGUAACAAGAGAUCUUGUUUCUGUUAAACAAUCAAAACAAGUCAAGUGAAAUUUGAAUUACUCUCUUUAUAGAUUUGUGAUAGCACCUGGUUCUUAGUUUUCCUAGAUACCUUCUUUGUCUUGGCAGCAGAUUACUGUCUUUAUAGGCAGUGAAAAAUAACGUAAGAAGUAGAUUUAGUUCAAAAAAUUUGGUAAAAAUUAAAAAUAUUCUUAAAUAUAAACAUUUAUGAUGUUUAAGAAAAGGCUAACUUAGAGUUACCAGUAGGGUUUGCAGAUAUUGUAUGCCACAAAUGACGUAUGGGUCAUAUUUGCAUGCACUGCCCUUUAUCUGAAAUUCAGAAAACAAUUAUCCCCCCUGUUAUUUAUGGUGCAAAAAAAAAUCUGUAAAUGAAUAUGGAAUAAAGAGCCUGGGCAAUUCCAGCAGAGCAGGUGAGGCUGACACACUGGGAGGCAGCUUGCUGAUUAUGGCUGUGUGUCAAAAGCAGUAGGUGGGAGAACCAGGUGAGGUUCUUUUAAAACCCAGGCUUGGCUAAGUGUGAUAUGUUAGCCCUUAAAUAAUUGAUAAUUGGUAACAUAAUUCUAAUUGCUCAAGUGUUUAAUCAGAAGUUAACUUGUGGUAAGAGUUUACUUAUAUUGAAUGGAUAUAUCCUGCUGCAUGAUGGGUGUGGGUUAUCCAGAGACAGCUAUUUGGAGCUCAGGAAGCGAGAAUGCAUCCCAUACAGCUUUGCCCUCCCCUUAGGAAAUAAAAUAUAUGUGAAUAAAAUCCCUCAAUCCUUGGGCAUCACUGGGCUAUGCAACCCCAACUGUGGGAACUUUCCAGAGCUGAGCUUUUUGAACACUAACAGGAAGUAGGCCUAGUUUCCUGUCUUGGUUUGAUCAUUAUGUCUUUCCUUUCUGCAUUAAAAUGAAUCCUCCUUCCAUGUCAACUCAGAUAAUUUGGUUUUCAGGAGAGUCACUGCCACAUUUCUGCUGCUGUAGGUCUUUUGGCUCUGGAAUGAACCCUCUCUAGAGUUUGGUGCUGGUGACCAAAAAGAUUGGACUGCCUCAGGGCAUUGCACUUCCAGGCACAUGGACAGGAUAAUUAUUUCUUUUAUUUUAAUUUGCAUACUUUUGGCUUGAUAGCAAGUUUGAAAUAUUCUUUCAAAACAUUUAUUUCAUUUACUCCUAUUCUUUGUGAUGUUCUUUGUACUAAUUUCUACUGGUGUUCUAAACAUCUUUAUUUUAGAUAUUGCCUUAAGGGCCAGUAACACGAUGCCUUUCUUCAUGGGGUGGAAUUUCUCUGUCUUUAACAUGACAACGAUGUCUUUCAAUGAAAGAACCUUCUCAAGCUAUUCAUAGCCAUAUCCUCUCACACAUGCUCAUUGUGGCUAAUUUUGAUAUAUGGUUAUUCUGUUCUCCCACACUUGAGUAUCACAAUUCGUUUUCAAUAUGCAUUCCACUGUGUUAGAUUUAUUUUAACACACAUUUCAGGUGACUUUUUUUUUUACCACAACUGCACUUCUAAAUUGUGUGUUUGUGUGUGCAUGCAUGUGUGCGUGCAUGAGUUUAAUUAGCUUGCUAUUCAUUAAUUUUAUAUUGUAGCUCAUUAUUUAAUUAUUUCUGUACGAUAUCAGACUCUUUAUAUUGGGUAUAGUCUUAUAUGAAGUAUUGAUAUUAUGACUAGUUUACUUUUGGGUCUUGGUGCACGUACGUGCACACUGUGUGUGUGUGUGUGUGUGUGUGUGUGUGUGUGCGUGCGUGCGCAUGCGCUCUCACAUCAUUGAAUAUGUUUUUGAACACAUGUGCUUAGCAAUUUUUUGACGUAGAGAAUUGCAGAAGAAAUGAAGUUCAUCACUUGGCCAGAUGAAUAGCAAGUAAACUCUGGGCAUCCAGCUAUUUCCAACCCUGAAUGUUAAGGUUACAGACACAGCUACUGCACCAAGCCCUUUACCUGGGCCCUGAACACCUGCACUCCAGUGUCGAUCCCAGAGUGUCAAGUGCUACUCACUGAUCCAUUUCUCCAGCUCCUACUUUUGUGAUUUUUCAUUUGACAAAAGAAUAAUAGUUGUUUAUAACCUUUAUUUCUGUAUAAAUAUGUAACAUGAGUUUAAUGAUUCUAAAAGAUUCAACUCAACUUUCAUAGGAAUUCAGUGUAUUUGUAGUUUGGUGUUCUUACUUUUUCUUGUUAUACUUCUAAAAAUUAUACAAAAUGUGAGCUAACCUUCUCAUAGAUGCUUGGAAGUUUACUUGUAAAAGUCUGAAGCUUUGAGGAAGGAUGGACUUUACUUUUACUUUUAUGUUUUGACAAGGUCUCUGUCACUAUGUGGUCCAUGAUGGCCUACAACUCUUCCUCCUUUACCUUCUAAGACUCUGUGCUUAUGGGCAGUGUUAACGUUCUAAGGCAACUUAAGGACACACAGAUCCAAAAGAGACCAAUCUGAACUCAGCAGAUAAAUGGUUGGUUUCAAACUCAAGGGGCAGACACAAUAAGAAAGGGAUGUCUACUGAAGAGGGAAGGGGAUUCCUGGAGUUUGUAUAGGACCUUUGGAGAGUGGGAAGGUAAUUUGUGGCCCUGGAGGGCUAUGUGCAAUUCUGUAAUGUCUUCCCCCUUGGCUUAUUUGUUCAAACAGGCCUUUUUAUCUUAGAAACUGUACUGUUCUGGCUAUCAGGAUAUAGGAAAUAGUGGGAGGCAGAGUUAGGCAAAGGUAGCCAGGGCAAAGAGGCUGGAGUUUCAAUAUAGAGCCUUGGUCAAGGACUGGAGCAUUUGGUGAGGGUUUAUUUCAACAGCAUGCUUCGCUUAUAAUUUUGUUUUUCUGAUAUCUUUUAGUUUCUGUUUCCCCUCCAUUUUACCAUUUAUUCUUGACAUUUAUACCAACUGGAUUUUAAAUUUUUAACCGCCCCAUUAAUCUAUUGCAAUUAUUUUCAAGCUAUUUUGUCUUUAGUGGCUUUGUACUUUUGAACACAUUUUUAAAAUUUAAAUUCUUCACUUUUUUCUUGAAUUAGCAUAUCACAAUUACCCAUUAAUAAUGCCUUACAAAAUCAGAUAGGAGUAUAAUGUGCUCUUGUUUUAGCUAUGGUGUUUUUCUGAGGGCACAGUACUAUGUAAAUCUAUCCUGUCCUUAAAUGUUUCCUUUUGUCUUUCUUAUGAUGCUCUUGUUUCUGUUACCUAAUUCUUAAUCUUCUCUUAUUUUAAAAAAAACCUUCUUGAC